rnacentral:tRNA from 1 species
UUAGCAUAGUUUAACAAAAACAUUAGGCUGUGGCUCUAAA